UCCGUGAGAAAACCACAAACGGUGAAACCCUAGCCAACCAGAGCCUCUCUCUCCUCUCCAAUCCCGUGCCCACUCUUCUCCCCCAAUCCCCGCUCCUCUCCUCCUCCUGAAUCCGCCGCCUCCUCUGGCUUUCUCUCCCGCGUGCUGGUCGCGGACGGUGAGCGGCGGGCGCGGUCGACUUCCUGAAGGAGGCUAGCGGCGGGCGGCGAGGAGACCGGCGCGGGCGGCGAGGAGACCGGCUCAGAGGUCGAGCUCGCGCCGUCUCACCCUCUCAGCCGUGUAUGAGGGCACAACGGCAUCGGCUGCCUCGGGAGAGGAGGAUGUGGUGGCGGCGGUCCUUGGUGCGGGACAUCCGCUCGAACUGGCGCGGGGGAGACCGGAUGAGGCAACGGCGGCGAGGCUCGAGAUCUCCGGUCGCCACCAUCUCCGCGCCGGUGGGGCUCGAGAUCCCCCGCCUCAUCCUCUCCUGCCUCUGCUUGGGCGAGGAGGCAACAGAUCGGGAGGCAGCGAGAUGAAGCCUUCGAUCCUUCUUCUAUGGCGCCACCUCGACCUCCCGUUUCUUCCUCCUCCGCGUACGCUCUUUUCUUCUUUGUCUUCACCCUCUCAUUCUCUCCAUCUCAGGCAGCAGCAAGCAUGACGAGGAUGGAGACGAACCAGUGGUGACACACGAGGAGGGCGGCAUACCACGAUGGUGGAUCUAGAGUGCUGGGAAGAGAAUGCCCAUGGUGUGCUUACUGGUCCCAUGGUAUGGUGGCGUUGAGAAAUAUGUAUACUUUCAUUGAGUAUGUCCGCACCAGAGUCCAAGACCACGGGUGAAAGAUCUGACAAAAAAGGGAGAACACCAAGAAGAGUGUGUUCAGGGAUAGAGGACGGCCGAGGAAUCAUCUAGCUUACUGAAGCAAAGGGAUGAUUCCUUGAAAAGUGCAACGGCAGUGCCUUAUGUUCAAGUAUUCCUAGCUACAUCGCUUCAGUUGGUCCAUAUGUUCACUGAAUGGGAAUGUCUCUUCAGAUUAAGGCUGCUAAUGCUUCGCUCUGCUCGCUAUGGAUAUGUCGGCCGGCGCCAGCUUCUUCCUCCCCAUCGGCCAGGUGACCAUGUUUACUCCUCCCUCUUCACCGGCCAGGCCAACUCGCCGGCACCUCUCACCUCACCGGCCCAGGAGAGAUCCCCUCCCUCAAAGUCGCCGCGUCCUAUGCUCGCCGCCGUCCAUGAGCCGAUUCCGCAGUGCAGAUGAGCCUGAAGAUCGAGGUUGUCCUACUUCAGGGUAGUGAGCUGCAGCAUUUUGGCGCUCAGUUGGCGCUGGAGGUUAUUCAGGCACCAUCCACAAAUUAAAUCCUCAAGAUCAGCGAUGGCGAUGGCGACGGUGCAUCGACGAGCUUGAUGAGAUGGCGCAUUGACAAGCAAAAAGUCAUGGGGAUUCCCGCUGUUCGUGAGGGGUUGUGUGAUGCGGCUAUGGGGCGGCGGAGGUCCACACAUCAGACGUAUCUAGGCUGUGCGCACAGAUGAUGUUGAGGCUCCGUGACCUCUACAACCCGAGCAAAGACAGCAGCAGUUCGCCACUUCAACUGUUACUCUACUCCAUCCACUAAAUUUUCUUCAGUUCAAUAUCUGCAUAUAUAUGGUGAUAAUUUUAGUGGGCCACAAGGUGUUGGCAAUCGUUGGGUUCUGUAUUCUACAAAAUAUCAGCAGCUUGUUUAAUCUUCAGUUGCGGUGCUUUCAUGUUAUCAUGAAUUGUGGGAAAACAGUAUAUUGUGUGUUCCUUCUUGCAUCCAGCUUGACUGUUUACUCUGGAAGGAGCAGUUCGUGGAGUGGGUCUGAAGCAAUUGGGUAGCAGACAUAAUAUUAGGCUGCUACAGAGGGGGUGGACUUUGAUGUCAGUAUGCUACAAAGGAUGUUGAAGAAAUUGGUGAUUUUCUUUAUUUAAUUAAAGAAACAGAUUAUAUGAAUGCAUGGUGAUUUGAAAAAAUGUGGUUUAUUUAUUUCAAGUGUUCUAAAUUACUCAUUAAUCCGAUAUAAAUUAAGGCUGCAAAGGGGGUCAUGCAAUGACUAUGAACUAAGGGUGAUAUGUAUUUUUUGGUGUUUAUUCUUCUAUGAGCUACCAACCAUAUAUGUUGCAAGCUGAUAAGGUGCCUUUUUAGGUUAUGAGAAGCGAUUAUCUUUGUGCCUCCAUGGCGAGCAGCACCGGCUGCAUCUGGCCCCAGCGCAUCUUUGGAAAUUUGGAAUGAUAAAAGGAAUUGGUCAAACUACAGAAAUUGUGACCCUGGGGAGCCGCCCUGGGCCUGACCACCGUUGGUUCAGCGUUCUUCUCUGCCUGCGGAGUUUCCUGUCGUGCAUGCGUACGGUUGAGGUCUAGGAUGUUCAUCCACAUCUCGUUUAACUUGUUUUUCUGACUGAAGUUAGGAAAAUUAUAUAGCUACCAUGAUAUAUUGCAUUCAGUAGCAUAAACCAGAGUUUAUGCAUUGUAUUGAUUGUGCCAACUUGUGCACACUGGCCCCAGAGGCAAGAUGCCAAUACCAUCAGGUUCCUUACCUUCUUUGCUUGGAUAUAUGUUUGCUAGGUUAGUGAUUGAUCAUUUUUUUCUAUAAUUCUUUUAGCUAGCCAAUUGCCUGCUUCAUCAUGAGUUCUUGUCCAUUGCGCUAAUGGUGAUUAUCCACUGCAUUUAACGAGUAUUUAAUCUGCUAAAAUUUCAUACAACCUUAAAUUUUAACGAGCAAAUAUUUCUAAUAAUUUCUGGUUCCGGUAGUAUCAGUUAAGGGGCUAAAAAUCUCGAACCAAACUCUCUCUGGUCACGGUUUAUUUCGCUUAUUCUAGCUUUUGUUAUUUGUCGUUAACAGGUUAGUAUUUUCAAUCGUUGUUAAUUUUUCCAUCUGCUCAAUUCUUCUUGUGUUCUAAUGUUACAGUGUAGUAGAAUUUAAAAAGUGAUGUUAGUAUAUGCUCAAUUCUCAUUUAGACCAUAUAAAAACAUGCCUUUGGUCGAGUUUACCAUAUUCUAGGAAUGGUUGACUGACCAACCUAGGGUGAAAAUACUUGGUUGCACUUGAAUGUGCUAAUGCUAGGGUGAAAAUGCUGAACCUGCUGAGCCUAAGGUAGCAGCACGUAGUAGUAGCUAUAUUCAGCGGAUAGUGGUUAUUUUCCAGGUAAAGUAUAGAUGCGAGAUAUGAUAUGCCUCCUUUUUAUGAUCGUUAUAGUCACUUUAUUUUUCUUUUUGUUGGGACUUUGGUUUGUAAGGGGAAAGGUUUUAAAGAGCGACCAGGGCAUUAUUAGGAACCAUAUGGUGAUUUCGUGUUCAGGAAAAACAAAUGCCAUAUAUUAUCAGAGUUAAAUUUAAAAAUGCUAUGAUGAUGGCUCCCAUAUGGUGAUUUAGUGCUCAGGAAAAACAAUUGCCACGGUUGUUGAUAGAAAGCUCAAACUUCUUAGGUUUUUUCGUUGCUUGGGGUUAACAGCUUGCUGCUGCCUUGGUGCUAUUGUGAUUCCCAGUACUUUUUAGAAGCUUACAGUAUAUUUAUUUUGGAUAGUUGGUUGUAUUUUUCAUCUGUUGCCAAUAAAUCAUCUGUUUAUCUGUCACAUGACCAUGUCACUGCCUUCUAAACCAUAUUUCCACUCCAAAGCAGUCUUACCUAUUUACUAACUGAUCCUUGUUUCUACGAGGAAACCAAAAAGAAUAGUUGGCAAUACCACCCAAAAAUUCAGCUGCCAAUGUUUUGGUUCUCAGGGUCAAUUGAGUUACUCAUCUUGAAGUUGAGACAAACCUACAAGGCUAUAGUGCGAUGAAAAAUAUGAGGUUGAUGGGAUAUCGAAUAUCUAAAACCGGCAUGAUGUAUCCUGGGGGCAUAGUCCUGACCAGUGACUACCGCAGGAAAGCUGGGGAGCCAUCAGAGGAUUUUGCUACAUACAUCCAGCAGAGAGGCUAUGACCUUCAUGAUUCAACCUACGGAAAUUUUGCUUCUAUGUUUGCAGUAAAAUUUUCAUGAAACCUGAAAGAUUUGUUUCUAAAGUGGUGAACCAUUCUAACAUCUGUUUGCACAUGAUCCCAGAUGCUCGAGGAUGCCAAUUUCCAUAGUGUCAUCGCCCAAGACCGCACCGACCAGUUCCUGGGGUUCCUGGAGAGGUAGUUGCCUUUAACCGAGAAGACCAAACAGGCUUUCUGGGCACCUAGGUUAACGUUUUGAACCCUAUUUAUUUUGUGCCUUUCCUUUUUAUCAUCUCUGGUUACUCACUACAUCCACCUAUGCUCUAUCAUUGGGAGGACUACGACGACAUCGCAAAGGGCUUGAGCUUGAAGCUGAAGCAGAGCUGCUUGAGUGAUCCACUACUUGAGGUGAUAUUGCGAGCAUCAUCAUGGUUUAUUAAUAGGAAUAUAUUGUUGUGGCACUGCAGUGGCGUAUUGGUAAUUGAUAGUGCUGAUUCCGGAUACAUGUAAACUCCUUACAAAUACUUUCAUUUAUACCGUGAAUAUGUUGUUGUGGUGCUGCAGUCGUGUAUAUAUGUGUCACAUGUUACUAUUUGUAAGACAAGGCUUAUGAUUUCAAUAUGUAUGGCUUUAGUGUUUGCGCCAGGGCGGAAUGGGUCAUCUUCCUUUGCAAAUAAAAAGAUCGAGUCUAUUUACAUGUAAAUAAAAAUAUAGCAUUAUAUUUAAAUUAGUC